rnacentral:rRNA from 1 species
GACGAACGCUGGCGGCGUGCCUAAUACAUGCAAGUCGAGCGGACGAAUCGAAAGCUUGCUUUUGAUUCGUUAGCGGCGGACGGGUGAGUAACACGUGGGCAACCUGCCCUGUAGACGGGGAUAACACCGAGAAAUCGGUGCUAAUACCGGAUAACACGAAAUGUCGCAUGACGUUUCGUUGAAAGACGGCGCAAGCUGUCGCUACAGGAUGGGCCGGCGGCGCAUUAGCUAGUUGGUGAGGUAACGGCUCACCAAGGCGACGAUGCGUAGCCGACCUGAGAGGGUGAUCGGCCACACUGGAACUGAGACACGGCCCAGACUCCUACGGGAGGCAGCAGUAAGGAAUCUUCCGCAAUGGACGAAAGUCUGACGGAGCAACGCCGCGUGAGCGAAGAAGGCCUUCGGGUCGUAAAGCUCUGUUGUUAGGGAAGAACAAGUAACGCAGUAACUGGCGCUACCGUGACGGUACCUAACGAGAAAGCCACGGCUAACUACGUG